CGAGCAUUUUGCGGUUGCUAAGCUUAAAUUACAAGAGAGCGAAAUUAGAAUAUAUUUUUGAGACGAGUGGAGUUCGCGAUGGAACCAGACGGCCAACAACAACUGCGCCACUUGAUUGCUAUGGUCAUUUGUUUGGAAGCGUUCUUAAAGAGCCAAAUGGAGCGAUUUCAUGUUGUUGGGAACCAAUUGAGCUAUCUGUUGUAAACAUUUCACAGCACUUUUGAGAUUGCUAAAAUGUUACUAAAAUAAGAAUACGAAUAGGAAAACAGGCAUAAUUAACACAGGGCUGUUGCCUAAUUUCGAAACCAAAUGACAUCUGUGAGGCGUUUAUUUCACAAAUUGACAACUGUGUUCAAAGCGAAGCUGGCAAGAUUUAUCGACAUAUAGAUGUAUAAAGAUUGGGUACCGACGGUACUUUUUGGAGAUAUGGGAAAAGCAGUUCAUUGGAGUUCUACAGACAAACGAUUUGGCUCUCCACUCAAUCAAACUAUUCCACCAAAUAUAUAAUGGCUUUUGCUUUGUUGCUUGUCCUCCGAGUAAAUGACUAUAUUUUCAUAAAUUUUCUUUGGAACAAUUUUCGAAUAUUAUCUGAUUAAAUAUGAUCGCCAAGCUGGAACAUAUCUGCCAACAAAAUCCAAUUUUCAUAAACUUGAAAGACUGGUUUGUCGAUAGUUUUCAAACGAAUGGCGUUUCAAAACCGGUUCCGACGAUGUGAUAACACCGAGCAAAGGCGGGUAUUUUACCCAAUCUUCGAUGUUAGCAUUUUUCGAGCUAAUUGAAUAAUUUCCACAAAGGAUGUCCUAAAAACGAAAUUCUUCGCUGCGCUAUGGCAAAUUGGAUUUGAAAAUCUCUGCCAUAACUUUCACAAUUCAGUGCAGCGGAAUUUGUGAACUGCACUGUGCACAGCAAAUAACGGCAUUAAAAGCAGGAAUUUGACACUAAUAACUACAAAAAUAAUUUUGGCACACAUUUUGAAGCGAGUGCGCCCGAUGUAGCCCGGCAGCAGCAGCAGCAGCCGGCCCAAGCAAAUCAAAUUCAGACACAGAUGGAUAUUGCACAUGCGGCGCCGUAACCCGGUGCAGCA